AAGGCGGCAGAUAGGCAUGCAGUCGAACGAAUCCCGUGGGGGUAACUCUGCGGGGGAAGUGGCGAAAGGGGCAGUAAGGCAUGGGUGACCUGCCCCGGACUCCGGGAUAGCCCUUCUAACGAGGGGGUAAUACCGGAUGACGUGGGAGACCACGAAAGCUGAGGCGGUCCGGGAGGGGCUCAUGUGGUAUUAUGCUAGAUGGUGAGGUAACGGCUCACCAUGGCCGAGAUGCCUAGCAGGUGUGAGAGCACGACCUGCGCCACUGGCACUGUGACACUGGCCAGACUCCUACGGGAGGCUGCAGUCGAGGAUCUUCGGCAAUGGGCGAAAGCCUGACCGAGCGACGCCGCGUGUGCGAUGAAGGCCUUCGGGUUGUAAAGCACUGUCGGGGGGGAGAAAACCCGCAAGGGGUGAUCGACCCCCGGAGGAAGCUCGGGCUAAGUUCGUGCCAGCAGCCGCGGCAAGACGAACCGAGCGAACGUUGUUCGGAAUCACUGGGCUUAAAGGGCGCGUAGGCGGGCGGGAAAGUCAGGGGUGAAAGCCGGCAGCUCAACUGUCGAAGUGCCUCUGAUACUACCCGCCUCGAGGGAGGUAGGGGCGUGCGGAACUUCCGGUGGAGCGGUGAAAUGCGUAGAUAUCGGAAGGAACACCGGUGGCGAAAGCGGCGCGCUGGACCUCUUCUGACGCUGAGGCGCGAAAGCCAGGGGAGCGAACGGGAUUAGAUACCCCGGUAGUCCUGGCCCUAAACGUUGGGUACUAGGUAGUGGGCUUACAUGGGCUCACUGCCGAAGCAAAAGUGUUAAGUACCCCGCCUGGGGAGUAUGGUCGCAAGGCUGAAACUCAAAGGAAUUGACGG
rnacentral:rRNA from 1 species